rnacentral:rRNA from 1 species
ACAGCAGUCGCCGCGGGAAUACGUAGGGUGCGAGCGUUAAUCGGAAUUACUGGGCGUAAAGCGUGCGCAGGCGGUUCGUUAAGACAGAUGUGAAAUCCCCGAGCUUAACCUGGGAACUGCAUUUGUGACUGGCGAGCUAGUGUAUGGCGGAGGGGGGUAGAAUUCCACGUGUAGCAGUGAAAUGCGUAGAGAUGUGGAGGAAUACCGAUGGCGAAGGCAGCCCCCUGGGCCAAUACUGACGCUCAUGCACGAAAGCGUGGGGAGCAAACAGGAUUAGAUACCCGCGUAGUCCCUGUCUCUUAUAC